GGGCCUUCAACUCAUAACAAGUCUACAGAAAUAAGUUCAGUGUCUUUGAUAAGAAAAGAGAGGGAGUAGCGUGACACAGUGGGUAGAGAGAUAGCACUGAAGCCCAGAAAACAUGAGUUUGAAUCCAUACUGGCUGAGUGACCCUGGACAAGUCUCUUUCCCUUUCAGUGCCUCAGGAGUUAUUCUGAGAACUGGCUGCUAAUGAAUGCUCAAGGUACAAGGCACUGCUAGAACCACUGCUGCCCAGAAAGGAGAGAAGAGGGAAGCCUUGGAACUCCUUGGAGGUCUCAUACAACUAAACUCAUCCCCAAAGAUCUCUCUCCCAUGAUGUGGAUGUUGUUUCUUCUCAGGAGAAUGAGAAUCUUGCACUAGGAAAGAGAUCAUGAGUGAACUCACCAAGGAUGGAGUAUCACAGAUGGACAAUUAAAAUGCAAUCCCAGAG